rnacentral:rRNA from 1 species
CUUCGGUGCGAGUGGCGGACGGCUGAGUAACACGUGGGUAACCUACCCUGAAGUGGGGGACAACCCGCCGAAAGGCGAGCUAAUACCGCAUACGAUCGCUGGUCUGAGGAUUGGUGAGGAAAGCCUUCGGGCGCUUUAGGAUGGGCCUGCGGCCGAUUAGCUAGUUGGUGGGGUAAAGGCCUACCAAGGCGAUGAUCGGUAGCUGGUCUGAGAGGAUGAUCAGCCAGACUGGGACUGCGACACGGCCCAGACUCCUACGGGAGGCAGCAGUUAGGAAUCUUGGGCAAUGGGCGAAAGCCUGACCCAGCAACGCCGCGUGGGUGACGAAGGCCUUCGGG